AAAAAGGCAAACCCUGGAUUUUCGUGUCCAACUUUAACUGUCUGUCUCAUAUCUCAUAUGAAAUUUUUUUAUAAUUCCUAUUUUCAUUGUUGUUAGAUGAUAAAACAUGAUUAAUAUUUUAUGCGUGACUUGUUUUUUUAAUUUUUUUCAUAAUUUUUUCAAAUAAGAUAGACGGUCAAACGUUGGGCACGGAAACCAGGGUUUGUCUUUUU
rfam:Oryza glumipatula chromosome 3, whole genome shotgun sequence.